rnacentral:rRNA from 1 species
GUGAGGAAUUUUCCGCAAUGGGCGAAAGCCUGACGGAGCGACGCCGUGUGUGCGAUGAAGUCCUUCGGGAUGUAAAGCACUGUCAGCAGGGACGAUAUUGACGGUACCUGCAGAGGAAGGCCCGGCUAACUACGUGCCAGCAGCCGCGGUAAUACGUAGGGGCCAAGCGUUGUCCGGAAUCAUUGGGCGUAAAGGGCGCGUAGGCGGUCCGGUAAGUCAGAUGUUAAAUCUACAGGCUCAACCUGUAGCCGCAUUUGAUACUGCCAGACUAGAGAAUGGUAGAGGAAAGCGGAACUUCCGGUGUAGCGGUGAAAUGCGUAGAUAUCGGAAGGAACACCAGUGGCGAAGGCGGCUUUCUGGGCCAUUUCUGACGCUGAGGCGCGAAAGCCAGGGGAGCAAACGGGAUUAGAAACCCGUGUAGUCC